CCAAAGAAUAUCAAUAUAAAAUUGUUGAAUUCAUAAACGAAAAGGAAGAUGAUAUCUUUCGAUUGUGUCCCAUCCAAAUGGGUAACGUACGACGUCAAAAUUCACGUUCUUGCGUAUGUAAGUUUAUGUCUCCUCCAUAUAACACAAAAACACGGGCUAAAUUAGAUAGUUUGGUUAUGGCUAAAUCUAAGGCACUAGAAUCGUGGCCGUUAUAUCCAGUAUAUUUGAGAGGUGAAGCAGACACAUUAGAAGAAGCAAAACAAAAAAUGCAUAAAAUUAUUAACAAAAAGCAAUUGAGCUCUACUGAUAAUGCUAAAGAAAAGUCGAUACGUACCGCAAAAUUUAUUUAAAAAAAGAAACAAAAAUUAAUCAAAAAGACACUGUUGAAAAAAUUAUGUAUGACAGUGACCUUGAAGGGUCAUGUAAUUCUUUAGAAGACAGUAGUUCUUCUCUGACAUUUUCAAGUAAUCACAGUAUGGAAAAUGAGAAACAAGAUUUAUUGAGAAAUGAGAUCUCGAAAAAAAUUGAUAUUCAAGCAAACGAAAAACAAAUAGCGACAACAUUGACAAGAGAAUGUAGUUCAAAAGAUGCUGUUAAGUCAUCAGACAAUUUUCCGCAAUCACCUACGAAUACUAAAUUAAAUAACACAGCCAUCACUCCUGAUAAAAAUAUGCAAGCAGAAAAUCAGGACGCUGAAUUUUCAAAAGGCAUACAGAUUAUUUUUUAAAUUAUGAGAUUUUACAUUACAAGCAUGUAUUUCAAUUAAUCAUGAUUAUUAAUAAAUUUUUAGGAAUUCUUUUGCUUCAUAAAGCAAUAAAAUCUUUAACUGUCGAAAUAUCAAUGUAAAAUCACCUAAUAAGACAAUUAAAAAAUUCUAUUG